GGCCGAGUGGCGGAAUUGGCAGACGCGCCGGAUUCAAAAUCCGGUGUCCUCACAGGCGUGUCGGUUCGAGUCCGACCUCGGCCACCA
rnacentral:tRNA from 2 species